AGUCAGAUUGAACGCUGGCGGCAGGCCUAACACAUGCAAGUCGAACGGAAACAUGUCUAGCUUGCUAGAUGAUGUCGAGUGGCGGACGGGUGAGUAAUGCCUGGGAAUUUGCCUUUGUGAGGGGGAUAACCAUUGGAAACGAUGGCUAAUACCGCAUAAUGUCCAUCUGUGAAAAGAAGGGACCAAAGGGGGGACUUGUUCCUCCCGCGCAAAGAGAAGCCCAGGUGAGAUUAGCUAGUUGGUGAGGUAAAGGCUCACCAAGGCGACGAUCUCUAGCUGUUCUGAGAGGAAGAUCAGCCACACUGGAACUGAGACACGGUCCAGACUCCUACGGGAGGCAGCAGUGGGGAAUAUUGCACAAUGGGGGAAACCCUGAUGCAGCCAUGCCGCGUGUGUGAAGAAGGCCUUCGGGUUGUAAAGCACUUUCAGUUGUGAGGAAAGGGUGGUAGUUAAUACCUGCCAUCUGUGACGUUAACAACAGAAGAAGCACCGGCUAACUCCGUGCCAGCAGCCGCGGUAAUACGGAGGGUGCGAGCGUUAAUCGGAAUUACUGGGCGUAAAGCGCACGCAGGCGGUUUGUUAAGCUAGAUGUGAAAGCCCCGCGCUCAACGUGGGAUGGUCAUUUAGAACUGGCAGACUAGAGUCUUGGAGAGGGGAGUGGAAUUUCUGGUGUAGCGGUGAAAUGCGUAGAUAUCAGAAGGAACAUCAGUGGCGAAGGCGACUCCCUGGCCAAAGACUGACGCUCAUGUGCGAAAGUGUGGGUAGCGAACAGGAUUAGAUACCCUGGUAGUCCACACCGUAAACGCUGUCUACUAACUGUGUGUGAAUUUAAUCGUGCGUAGUGAAGCUAACGCGCUAAGUAGA
rnacentral:rRNA from 1 species